UACGUAGGUGGCGAGCGUUGUCCGGAAUUACUGGGUGUAAAGCGCGUGUAGGCGGGAGGCCAAGUCUGUGGUGAAAUCGCUCGGCUUAACUGGGCGGGGUCCAUGGAAACUGGUCACCUGGAGGUCGUAGAGGCAAGUGGAAUUCCCGGUGUAGUGGUGAAAUGCGUAGAGAUCGGGAGGAACACCAGUGGCGAAGGCGGCUUGCUGGGCCGGACCUGACGCUGAGACGCGAAGGCGUGGGAGCGAACGGG
rnacentral:rRNA from 1 species